UCCCUUACUGGGGGGUCCUGACCUAAGUAACAACCGAGGGCCAUCCAGUGACUCUGUUGGCCCAAGACCGAAUGCACAUCUGGGCCAAAGGUGUGUCCCCACCAGGGACAGCUUCUGUGUUAACUCCGUCUUAUGUGACGACUCAACAUAGUCUAACACAUGCUAUGGCAUGCACUGAUCCAGAGGAUGAGUUUCUUCCCAGAUCUCUCCUUUUUAAAAGAGUAACUCAUAUAUCCAGUAAAUACUCACCUCAAAGAGCUUUGCAAAAAGAUUUCUGUAGUGCUUAACUUUUAUAAUCAAGUGAAUAACAACCCCUUAUACUCCAGCUGUGUCAACACCUCCUCCCUUGCAACGUUCACCUUUCAAUUGUCUGUUUGCUAUUUGCUUUGCUUUGUUUUCCUUGUCAUUUUCUUUGACAAGAUUCAGCGUGGGCGAGUGGAAGUGAUUAGCCCACUGCUCCCAAGAAAGCAAAAAAGGAACUAAGAUUCCAACACCCUUUAACAUGAAGCUGUUCAUCCUUUAAAGGAUCUUUGGCAGCUAAAGAUUAUGCCAAGACUGAUGGUUAAGUAGAGGAGAUUUACAAUAGCCUUAUUAUUUUACAAGUUAAAAAAAGAAAUGAGUAUACUCAAUGGCAUGGCUGUUGAAAUCCUUCUUGCAAAAUAUGCUUCCAUAAUAUGCUCCCACACUAUCUUUUUAGUGCAAGUUGACAAUUGUUAGCAUGUGAAGCUAAUGUGAUAAAUUAGAACACCCUGGAUGGUGUUCUAUUAUUUAAGUAUAUUUUAUUUAAGAGUACUAGUAGGAAAAUUGCUCAGAGGUUGGCAGUAUUCCACAGAAUAUUUUGUUAAUGCUGAUAUAAGUACAGCAUGCUAACAAAGAGACUGAACAAUAUUGGUUUUUAUGUUAUUCUUAUGGUUUUCAGAGAUGACACAAUCCAGGCCACAGAACUCCAGUGGGUAUUGUUUGGAGACCUUCCUGAAGACACAGGACAAAAUGAGAGUGCUUUGUCUUACCAUAUCCGACUUAAUCACCACGGAGCCAGUGGAGAAUGUGUCGUGGCAGCUUUACUGUGCACUGAGGAGGAGCCUAAGUCCCUGUCACCAUCACAUAUUCACUCAGCAUAUCCUGAUGGAGGGCUCACCGCUCCGAAGCGGGUUCUGCUCCAGGCACUCAGACCCAUCCCUGGAAUAAUGUCCUAGUGUAAGGAGGCUGAUGAUAAACAAUCAAUAUAAUUGGUAAGUACAUUUUAGGGUGAUAUUUCAGAGGUUGGUGAGAGCUCGGGAAAAAAGCAAAAUUAGGACAUAUGAAGGACAAUUGGGAAUGAGAGAAAGGAGGGUAAUUUGCACCUUGCACAAGAGUGGCCAAGUGCUCCUCAUUGAGAAGCUCACACCUGGUCAACUGUGAGGCCCUGAAGACACCAGGAGGAAGCCUGAUCAGACGUGGGAAUGAGCCGGUGCAAAGGCCCGGAGGCAGGUGCCCAGACAAUCAAGAACCCCAGUGCAGCUGGUGCAUAAAGAGGGUGGAGGGGUUGACCUCAGAAACAAAAUUUGGGACGUAUCCUUUGUUGCUCACCCAGAUCUCCUGCUUGGGGCCCCACAGGCCACAUCAGCACUCCUCCUCUGCCCUCUGGCUUCUUUCUGGGCUCCUGUCUUUCAGCUCAUGCCCUGAAGGGCCUCCCUUUCUGAAGGUCAUGGUGUCUGGAGUCUCCUCUCCAGCUCCUCUCCGCCUGUCUUCCUCCCCGGGGUGCACCCAGAAUCUGCACCCCGAGCAGCACAUCGCCCCGCCUCCUGCACUGUCCCCACCUGCUCACACCUUUUGUAAAGAGGCU
rnacentral:lncRNA from 12 species